ACGAACGCUGGCGGCGUGCUUAACACAUGCAAGUCGAACGAUGAAGCGGGUGCUUGCACUCGUGGAUUAGUGGCGAACGGGCGAGUAACACGUGAGUAACCUGUCCUUUUCUUUGGGAUAACGGCUGGAAACGGCUGCUAAUACUGGAUAUUCAGGCUGCAUCGCAUGGUGUGGUUUGGAAAGGUUUUUUCUGGGAUUGGGUGGGCUCGCGGCCUAUCAGCUUGUUGGUGGGGUGAUGGCUUACCAAGGCUUUGACGGGUAGCCGGCCUGAGAGGGUGGUCGGUCGCACUGGGACUGAGAUACGGCCCAGACUCCUACGGGAGGCAGCAGUGGGGAAUAAUGCACAAUGGACGAAAGUUUGAUGCAGCGACGCCGCGUGGAGGGUGUAGGCCUUCGGGUUGUGAACUCCUUUUUCUCGCGAAAAAGGCACAGUUUUGGCUGUGUUGAUGGUAGUGGGGGAAGAAGCGCCGGCUAACUACGUG
rnacentral:rRNA from 1 species